rnacentral:rRNA from 1 species
UACGUAGGGGGCAAGCGUUGUCCGGAUUCAUUGGGCGUAAAGGGUGCGUAGGCGGGUCUUUAAGUCAGAGGUGAAAUCCUGGAGCUCAACUCCAGAACUGCCUUUGAUACUGAAGAUCUUGAGUUCGGGAGAGGUGAGUGGAACUGCGAGUGUAGAGGUGAAAUUCGUAGAUAUUCGCAAGAACACCAGUGGCGAAGGCGGCUCACUGGCCCGAUACUGACGCUGAGGCACGAAAGCGUGGGGAGCAAACAGG